GAAUUAGCUCAGCUUGGUAGAGCACUUGGUUUGGGACCAAGGGGUCGUAGGUUCGAAUCCUGUAUUC
rnacentral:tRNA from 2 species